AGAGUUUGAUCAUGGCUCAGGACGAACGCUGGCGGCGCGCUUAAUACAUGCAAGUCGAGCGAGAACCGGGCCUUCGGGCCCGGGGAAAGCGGCGAACGGGUGAGUAACACGUGGGUAAUCUGCCCUCGGCACUGGGAUAGCCCGGGGAAACCCGGAUUAAUACCGGAUGGCCCGUCUGGUCUUCGGACCGGCCGGAAAAGGUAGCUUCGGCCUCUGGCCGAGGAGGAGCUCGCGGCGGAUUAGCUAGUUGGUGGGGUAAUGGCCCACCAAGGCGACGAUCCGUAGCUGGUCUGAGAGGACGAUCAGCCACACUGGGACUGAGACACGGCCCAGACUCCUACGGGAGGCAGCAGUGGGGAAUCUUGCGCAAUGGGCGAAAGCCUGACGCAGCGACGCCGCGUGAGGGAAGAAGGCUCUCGGGUUGUAAACCUCUUUCAGAAGGGACGAAGCCACUCGGGUUAAUAGCCCAGAGGGUGACGGUACCUCCAGAAGAAGCCCCGGCUAACUACGUGCCAGCAGCCGCGGUAAUACGUAGGGGGCCAGCGUUGUCCGGAUUUAUUGGGCGUAAAGAGCGUGUAGGCGGCCGGAUAAGUCUGACGUGAAAUCUCGAGGCUCAACCUCGAACCGUCGUUGGAAACUGUCCGGCUAGAGUCCGGAAGAGGAGAGUGGAAUUCCCGGUGUAGCGGUGAAAUGCGCAGAUAUCGGGAAGAACACCCAUGGCGAAGGCAGCUCUCUGGGACGGUACUGACGCUGAGACGCGAAAGCGUGGGGAGCGAACAGGAUUAGAUACCCCAGUAGUCC
rnacentral:rRNA from 1 species